UAAACGUCAAUUCAUGGUUUUAGCCUGUUUCAAGAGUCCUCUAAAUCGUUUACGGUCGACCGCCGACAACUUCCAAUUCGAUUUCCCUAGCUUUCUGACGGACGCUUCAACUCCAUCGCUUCAGUUCAAGUAAGUAAAGGAAAGCAAAAAUAUAUAUUUUUUUAGUUUCAAAUUAAAAAUUCGUUAAUAAGCAAUUUGUAUGUAAAAAUUUCUCGUGUCGCGGUGUUAGUGUGCAAACUCCUCCGAAACGGCUGCACCAAUUUGUAUGAAAUGUAUGGGUUCUUUUCUGUUUUUCCUACGGGGGUUAUCAAGUAGGCAUAGCCAUUUUUUCAACACGAAUAAUGUUGAACACUACUGAAACAAACAAGCUCUAACGAAUAAAUCAAUCAAAGUAGGUACACAUGACGAUUUAUUUGUGUAAUUUCAUUCAAUAAAAUGUAAAGUGAGUGAUAAGUAAGUAAAAGCAAGAUAAGUGUGGAAAUAAUUAUAAAAUGUAAAAAUUAAAAAUGUGUAGUGAUGGUCCUCCGCAUCAUGAACAUGGUGCAAUAAGUCCUUCGUUUUGAUACGUACAUACACGAAGCCCAAGCGGCUCAGGAGUUGCUCGCAGUUUUAAUUACUGUUCACUGUCUCAUGUAAUUUUUUUUCCCUUAAAGGUACAUUCGGCGAUACAUGAACUAGCCCAGAAUGCUUUUGGUGAUAGUUUAAAAAUACUUCAUACAUCGGAUCAACAAUUGAUGCUUCUUUUCAGCGAAUGCAUGCGUUGGUCAUCGUGGGAAGGGUUCUGAACAUGGUAUAUUCGGCAAUACAUGAACUAGCCCAGAAUGCUUUUGGUGAUAGUUUAAAAAUACUUCACACAUCGGUUCAACAAUUGAUGCUUCUUUUCAGCGAAUGCAUGCGUUGGUCAUCGUGGGAAGGGUUCUGAACAUGGUGCAAUAAGUCCUUCGUUUUGGUACGUACAAGAAGCCAAGCGACUCAGGAGUUGCUCGCAGUUUUAAUUACUGUUCACUAGCUCAUGUAAUUUUUUUUCCCUUAAAGGUACAUUCGGCGAUACAUGAACUAGCCCAGUUUUUUUCGUUUCGCUAGGUGGCCUCUGGCCAAUAUUAUGAGUUCGUUUCUGUUUUUCCUACGGGAGUUAUCAAGUAGGCAUAGCCAUUUUUUCAACACGAAACAACAACAUAAUGUUGAACACUACUGAAACAAACAAGCUCUAACGAAUAAAUCAAUCAAAGUAGUCGUGUCACGUGA